AUGGGGCUCUCAGAGGCCGAGGGGAAGGCUGUCAAGUACGGCUCCCCUCCCCCUCUACUCGCCUCCCCGCCCCUCCCUCCCUCCCUUUCCGUCCCGAAGGCGAUCGAUCAAACCAAUGAUAUCCAAUCAGGGCUGGCAGGGGAGGCCGGGGAUGGCGCGGAAAGCCCAGCAGCAGCAGCAGGCGCCGCGGGCAGAACAAGGCAGAGAGGCCUCCGGAGAGGCCCAUUGGGAGAGUGGGGAGCUUGCUCCUACCCCGUUUUGUUCCGGAAGAGAGUGACAGGGUGUCACCGAACACCAAGUCUCUUUGCGCACUUUGACUGGAGUCCGAAGGAGGGGCUCAGGGUGUUUUGGACCCCGCGAAGGCUUAAGGCAAAAGGCUGGGCGUGGAUCUACACUACAGGAGAAGGAAUGCAGUUUAAGCCCACUUGCGCUCACGGAUGCAGGAUUCCAGCUUCUGCAAAGCAAGAGGAUUCAAAAAGGAGAAACUGCUACCCCUGAGAUGAAAUGGAGUCUGUGGUAUAUUGAGUUGGGGGUGAGACUCUGGACCAGGCCUGAAAUGCUAUUGAUCUCUCAGCCUGAGAGAAUAGCAAAGACAAAUCUCUCUGAACACAUCUUGCCAAGGAAUCUCCAUAUGAAGGUUGGUUGCCUAGAGUCACCAUAAGUUGGAAAGGACUUGAAGGUACACAACAACUAUUAAAUCCAACUUCUAACAACUCUAAAUAGCCUUCCCAAAGUUAAAGUCUUCUUGUGGAAAGAAAAAGUGGGGUGUAAAUAAACAUCAUCAUCAUCAUCAUCAUCAUCUAUGGAUGCCUGCCAUAGAUGUGGGAGAACCUUCAAGAGAGAAUGCUUUUGGAACAGGGUUAUAACAUGUCUCCAGAGUCCUAAUCCGCCAGACUGGCUCUCAAGGGUCAGGGUUCCCGCUCUUCUCAAAAUUUAUACCAUUUUGGAACACACUGAAAACCAUUCAUACCUAGAAUGUGUUCCCAUUCCAAUGUUGGGUUGCUGUGAGAACUCAUUGCCUUCCUCUGAAAAAGAAGCCCUGAGGAGCUAGCAUUAUCUAGAGGCUCCCCAGCCAAGUACUAACCAGGUCUGACAGCUUCUGGGUUCAGAUGGGAUCUUAGGCUUUCAGAGUAUUUCAGUGUAUUUGGGCCCCUAUGGAGUGGCCUAUGGUAAAUGUAUGUUUAUGUGGAAUAAAACCCCUUGGCCUUAAUUUUGCUUUCCUCCCCUCUGCCUCACCGUAGGGGUGGCCUGUCUCCUCAAGGUUGCAAACCUCCCUCAUUUACGGAUAAAAAUAUCCACAGGUUGGUAUAUCCCUUACUUGUUGGUGAAGCUGUGUAGGAUUGCACCCCUCAUGUCUUCUCUGUCCUGCAGUUCCUUACUUCAUAAAAGUCUGCUCUGGGUAUUUCCUUGCCCUUCCAGAGCUUCCUCUCCCUCUCCCUCUCCCGCCCCACAUACCUUCCUGGCUGGAGAGAAGACAUUCCCCGAAGAAUGAUAAGCUCCAAGGCCGCUCUGCCUCAAGCAAUUAACAACUAAUCUGUGGGCUGAUCUGCAAACAUUGGGCCUGCGAGGCAGAAAAGCGAAAUCUCUUCGCCAGAGUCUCCAUCCAUCUCCACAAACAAACCGGCCCACGUCUUUCGCAGGGGCCCUGCUUUACUAAGCAUGAGAUGUUUCAGUGUUGGACUCCAAGAGACUACAGUUGAAUCCCUGAUCGUCCAUGAGAGCCUUCUGGAAAAGCCACAUUCUCUCAGCCUCAGAGGAAGGCAGGGCAAAUAUCGAAAGAGUAAACCUUGCCAAGAAAGAAAAAAAAUAAUCAAAAAGUUAAGUCAGGGGCACAUCCUAAUAAGGGGCACAAAGGAGCUGCAGAGCCUAUAAGAAAAAUACCCUGAGAAGUGUGUGUGCAUGUAUAGACUAGCUUGGGGACCCGAUGGUGCCCGGGUUAUUAGAGGAAAGCAUUGUUUGUUUUGGGUGUUAGGUAAUAUCACUUAAGCUUAGUCCAGAUCUGUGUUGGCUGGGUUCAAUGCUCUCUGGAUAAAGGUGAACUACAACUCCCAGAUUCUCAGGGCAAUCACCCCCAGACCCUGACAGUAUUCGCAGUUGGCCAUUUUGGGUCUGUGUGCCAAGUUUGGUUCAGAUUUGACGGCUGGGUUCAGGGCUCUCUGGAUAAGGGUGAACUACAACUCCCAGAUCCCAGGUCAAUCACCCACAAACCAGGUCUGUAUGCACAGUUGGCCAUGUUGGGUCUGUGUGCCAAGUUUGGUCCUGAUCUGAAGUCGGAUGAGUUCAGUGUUUUCUGGAUGCAGGUGAACUACAACUCCCAAAAUCAAGGUCCAUUUCCGCAAACCCCUGCAGAAUGUUCAGUUGGUCAUGGGGCUUCUCUGUGCAAAGUUUGAUCCCGGUCUAUUGUCGGUGGGGGUCACAGUUUCUCUGGAUGUAGGUGAACUACACCUAUUUAUGGUGAUUUCGUGAAACUUCAUAAGGUUAUGCAAGAAGUACUCAGGACUGGUUUUGCCAGUUCCUUCCUCUGAAAUAUAGCCUGCAGCGCUUAGCAUUCAUUCGAAGUCUCCCAUCCCAGCCCGGACCAGGGCUGACCCUUCUUAGCAUCCAAGAUCAGCCGGGAUCCGGUAUCUUUUCCUUUUCAAAAGCUUUAAAACAGGGGGCCUCCAGGUUGUGGCAUCCCGACUCAAUGCCUUGGGGCUCAAUUCGACUUGUUUCCGUGGGCCUGUUCUGUUCCAAAAGUCACAAAGGGGUUCCUACAUAUAGUGUGCAUAUGAUGUUAUAGUGCAGGACGACAUUUACGGGUUGAUUGUUCACACGGAACGGAGGUUUAUUCCCUAUAUUUACUGUAUGCUAGGGACUCUGGGUGACGGGAGGGGGGUCCCUUUGUGGCGGGGGGGGGGCUCCUUGGAGAAGCCGCCUGCUUCCUGGCUGGGGUUGGAUCACGUCUUGGGGGAAAAUGCCUCCUCUGUUUGCCUCUUGGCUCGCCUUGGACCCGCGCCAACCUCGUCUGUCCUUCCCUAGAGAGGGGUUGGGAGGUUGGGGGGGGGGGAGCCUUGGACGGCGCCUCCGCAGAGAAGGCAAGGCGCGGAUCCAGCCACCGGCCCCCCUUCCCCCCCUCCCCUCCCCUCCCCUCCUUCGCCCUCGGCCUCGGCCUGCUGACGAGCGAGGCGACGUAGGCGGCGGCCUAUAAAUAAUUUCCAUUAUGUUCGGCUGACAGCGCGAGGCGAUUAAUUUUAAUAGCUGUAUAUUUGCCCGGCUCUCCUAAUGCCCUGUAAUGAGACGAGGUGCCACCCAAGCCCAGAUGGCUCGCUCCAUCCAGCCCUUGGGAGAGAAAGAGAGGACGGAAGAAAGAGAAAAGGAAGGAAGGGAGGGAGGGAGGGAGGGAGGGAGGGAGGAAAGAAAGAGACGAAACACUGAGAAGAGGAAAAAAGGCUCCCUUCCCCCUUCGUCUUCCUUUCUGUCGUCUCUCUCCUUCCUGUUGAAUUUCCCCCAGCUCGCUCUGAUCCUCAUUUACUUUAACCAUUGAAUUCAGUUUGAAGUCGGUAUUGAAGAAAGUGAUUUCUGGGUUGCUGUGAGUUUUCCGGGCUGUACGGCCAUGUUCCUGAAGCAUUCCCUCCUGACGUUUCGCCCACAUCUAUGGCAGGCAUCCUCAGAGGUUGUGUGGUCUGUUGGAAAACUAGUCAAGUGGGGUUUAUAUAUAUGUGGAAGGUCCAGGGUGGGAAAAAGAACUCUUAUGUGUUGGAGGCAAGUGUGAAUGGUGCAAUUGGCCACCUUGAUUAGCAUUGAAUGGCCUCUCAGCUUCAAAGCCUGGCUGCUUCUUGCCUAGGGGAAUCCUUUGUUGGGAGGUAUUAGCUGGCCCUAAUUGUUUCAUGCGCGGAAUUCCCCUGUUUCCUGAGUGUUGUUCUUUAUUUACUGUCCUGAUUUUUAAAAAUACCAGUAGACAGAUUUUGUUCAUUUUCAUGGUUCCCUCUUUUCUGUGCAGAGGAUUACAUUGGAAAUCCUGGAAGCACUGAAUCCCUAAUAGGGACGACACAAACCACAAAGUACUGAUGUUUAUUAAGGGAUGCAGCUCUCGAGCUUUUGUGGGAGUUUGUUGUCUGGAGGUAUCAAAUGGAAAGUGUGGAUGGGACAGUUUUACUCCUCUUACACACACACACACACACUCCAUGUUUCUGGGGGCCCUUCCACACAGCCCUAUAUCUCAGUAUAUUAAGGCAGAACAUCCCACAUUAUCUGCUUUGAACUGGGUUAUCUGAGUCCACACUCAGAUAUUAUGGGAUUUUUUGCCUUGAUAUUCUGAGAUAUAGGGCUGUGUGGAAGGACUCCCCAGCCUCCCUCUCCCUGAGGGUGUCUAUGUGUCCCCCCCAAAAAAGCCAACGAGUGGGGGAGGCCCUCCUAUAGACAUCGUGUUUAGACCUGUGCUAGAGACCGGGCCUCUCACUGGGCCCAUCUGCAUCGAUCACUUAAUGCAGUUCGAAGCCAUGUUCACACUGCGGUGACGACCAGACAAUAAAUUUCCAGUGCUCUGUGGUUUGUGUAAUUCCCCCACCCAGGCCUUCAACUGUCUCCAAGAUGUUCUCUGUAGUCAUCUGCACAGCAAAACCACUUUUUUCAGUAUCUCUCUCUCUUUCUCUGGGUGCAAUGAAUGCGGUUUGAGACCACUUCAACAGCCAUGGCCCAAUGCUAUGGGACAAUGGGCGCUGUCGUUGUAGAAGGCUUGCCGCCGCCUUCUCUGCCGAAAAGGGCUGGCGCUUCACCAAGGACACCCUCGCGGCCGUGAAAGCGGUUCAAAAUGGCAUUCAUUUCGCAGUGUCUGUCGAGGCAGCUUCUCUUUGCCUGCGUGUCGAGGUGCGCUUCGUUUCCGAGGCCGCGCGGACUCCCUCCCAAGCUUGAAGCGGGAGACCCCGUCUCCAAGCUCGGCCUAUUAACCCACAUAAUAGCCUCCGCGCGGGGUCUAGAGCAGAGCCAUCGCCUCCCCGGGUCGCCUCCUGUGCCCGUGUGCGCGCAUGCGCCAUGGGGAAGAGAGGAGAGGGAGCUGCCGAAAGAGCCACCGGCAAAGGAGAAGGAGAGAGAGAGCGAGCGAGAGAAAGAGAGAGAGCGGGCACUUCGGUGCGGGAGCCGAGCCGGGAAUUAACACGCUCGAGCGUUUCCCCGCGUUUCCCUCCUGCUCUCUUUCUUUGAGCCUUCGCUUGACAAAAAGCCGAGCUGGGAAGAAAGCAAGCAAGC
ensembl:lncRNA